AGUGAACGCUGGCGGUAGGCCUAACACAUGCAAGACGAACGGCAGCACAGUAAGAGCUUGCUCUUACGGGUGGCGAGUGGCGGACGGGUGAGGAAUACAUCGUAAUCUACUUUUUCGUGGGGGAUAACGUAGGGAAACUUACGCUAAUACCGCAUACGACCUACGGGUGAAAGCAGGGGAUCUUCGGACCUUGCGCGAUUGAAUGAGCCGAUGUCGGAUUAGCUAGUUGGCGGGGUAAAGGCCCACCAAGGCGACGAUCCGUAGCUGGUCUGAGAGGAUGAUCAGCCACACUGGAACUGAGACACGGUCCAGACUACUACGGGAGGCAGCAGUGGGGAAUAUUGGACAAUGGGCGCAAGCCUGAUCCAGCCAUACCGCGUGGGUGAAGAAGGCCUUCGGGUUGUAAAGACCUUUUGUUGGGAAAGAAAAGCAGCAGGUUAAUACCCCGCUGUUCUGACGGUACCCAAAGAAUAAGCACCGGCUAACUUCGUG
rnacentral:rRNA from 1 species